GACGUAGGGCGCGAGCGUUGUCCGGAUUUAUUGGGCGUAAAGAGCUCGUAGGCGGCUUGUCGCUUCGACUGUGAAAUCCCGCGGCUCAACCGCAGGUCUGCAGUCGAUACGGGCAGACUAGAGUGCGGUAGGGGAGAUUGGAAUUCCUGGUGUAGCGGUGGAAUGCGCAGAUGUCAGGAGGAACACCGAUGGCGAAGGCAGAUCUCUGGGCCGUAACUGACGCUGAGGAGCGAAAGCAUGGGGAGCGAACAGG
rnacentral:rRNA from 1 species